AUGAACCAAAAUCCCAACUUUCGAACAUGUGUCAUUAAUUCAUGCCUUUUCAACUUUCUAAACCCUUAUUCAAUGAUGCGGCGAAAUCAAACAACAAGGGCGAGUCCUCCAAUGUCGAUCGCCAUUGUCGACGUCAUUCUCGUCGAACUAAAGCUACCAGUCCUGCAACACCUAAUUCGUUUCUGGCUAUUGAAUCUGAUGAUGAUCCACGAAGAAAAUUUCUUUCAAAAAGGUAUACAAUUUUUUUCCUUUCUUGAUUCAUUCUUUUUUUUUUGUUAUUUUAUUUUUCGCUCUUUCUAG